UCUCCUGCAAUUUCACUGCUCAAUUCACUGUCAUUUAGGAGUUAAAUCACUUUGUUUCUGUUUAUGCAGCCCUAGCCACACCUCCCCUGGCUAUGACUGACAGAGCCUGCAUGAAAAAAAAAAUGGUUUCACUUUCAAACAGAUGUAAUUUACCUUAAAUAAUUGUAUCUCAAUCUCUAAAUUGAACUUUAAUCACAUACAGGAGGCUCUUGAAGGGUCUAGCAAGCUAUUAACAUAGCAGGGGAUAAGAAAAUCUUCAUUAAACAGAACUUGCAAUAAAGAAAGCCUAAAUAGGGCUCUCUUUACAGGAAGUGUUUAUGGAAGGCUGUGCAAGUCGCAUGCAGGGAGGUGUGACUAGGGUUCAUAAACAAAG